UACGGAGGGGGCUAGCGUUGUUCGGAAUUACUGGGCGUAAAGCGCGCGUAGGCGGCUUUGUAAGUUAGAGGUGAAAGCCCGGAGCUCAACUCCGGAACUGCCUUUAAGACUGCAUCGCUAGAAUUGUGGAGAGGUGAGUGGAAUUCCGAGUGUAGAGGUGAAAUUCGUAGAUAUUCGGAAGAACACCAGUGGCGAAGGCGACUCACUGGACACAUAUUGACGCUGAGGUGCGAAAGCGUGGGGAGCGAACAGG
rnacentral:rRNA from 1 species